CAGGUGAGGAGAGUUCUUCGCCUCGCGCCAGGAUUCUGAGGCCUCCCCAGCCAUGUGGAACUGGCAAGGAUUGUGAUGACGUUUUUGCUAUUCCAGUGCAGAAAGCAUUUCAUGUAAAACCUGGGGUUGAUGACAUGAGCAAUAUCCGGAGAGAGAGAGAGAGAUUCCUGUAGAAUACAAGACAAGACUAUCACAAUGUUACAUGACGAUGACCUUAAGGAAUGAAGGAUGCUCUAUCCUGCUGAGUGAUUUAUCCUCAAAGCUGAAAUGUUGGGUCUGUGAAAGUAAUGAGAAGCACAGUGGAAAUAAGUUUCUGAAGGAUGGAAGAGGCUGGAGGCUGGCUAGUGGGAGAAGGUUCCCAGACACGUGAGAGACCCAGCAACAGAUUAAAAUCAUCCUUACCUGACAAGAGGACUCAGUGAAUCAAUGUAAGUAAAAGGCUUAGUCCGGUUGCUGGUGCAGUGGAAGCACAGUGUGUUUACUAUCUUCUUGCUUCAUUUUCAGAAGAUAGACAGGGUGUUAGAACUACCACUGGCCUGUCACAAGUCAUCUCACUGGUCAACAGUUAUUUUGGGGGCCUGAUGCCCUUCCACUCACAAAGAGGAUGGUGUGUAAAGAAUCUCUCUUGGUGUGACUCCAGGACUGGCCCACUGGCUUUUAACACACAAAAUCCUCCUUUUUAGUUAGGCAGGAAUCAGCCCAAGACUGAGGAUUGGCAAAUUGUGAGUUUUGAUACUGAUAUGUAACUCAUUCUUAAUUACUCAUCCACAUACAUUGUAGUGCCAUCUCUGAAAACUGAGAACCCCUGAGAUUGUAGUAGGAAAGAUUUCUAGUGCCAGGAAGAGUAAUAGCACUAAAUCAACAUGACCCAAGGACACGAGCAAUUUCAUAAUGUAAAUGAUGAUAACCUGUAAAAUUAUAGUUUUUAUUUUCUUCUACUUUUACUGUAAUAAAUAACAAUCUGGUAAAGAAGAGUAAAGACACAUACAAGGCUGUCAAUAUUUUAAACAUUUUUAGGAGGAGAAAUCUAAAAGAAGAAAGGAAAUGAGAUAAGACACAUAUACUGCAUGGAAAUGAUAGCAAAAUUUAUUUAGAAAAUAAUCUUCUUUUUACAUUUUAGCAUUUAAAAAUAAUUUUUAUACAUAUGCCCACAGGCAUAGUUUUUACAAAAAUAUAAAUCCUGAACUUAGCAUACGUACCAUUUUUAGUACAGUCUUUUAUUCUCUUUUUCACAUAUCUUCUUUCUGCACCUCAGCCAAUAAGAUUCCCUGCUUCACAUACUCUCUCAGUGCUUGUUAAAAGCAUUCUGGAAAUAUUUUUAUAUAUUUCUCCAUGAUUAUCGUGUUAUGAUUUUAUACAUAUAUAGAGUUUUUUGGCCUUUGUUCUUUUAAAAAAUUAUUUUACGUUUGCUUUUUUUGAAUCUUUAGUUCCUCAGAUAAUAAAAUCCUAGUCAACUGG
rnacentral:lncRNA from 10 species